rnacentral:rRNA from 1 species
CACCGCCCGUCGCUACUACCGAUUGAAUGAUUUAGUGAGGUCUUCGGACCGAUACCCGGAGCGGCUUUCGGUUGCGCCGGUGUGUUCGAAAGAUGACCAAACUUGAUCAUUUAGAGGAAGUAAAAGUCGUAACAAGGUUUCCGUAGGUGAACCUGAGGAAG